rnacentral:lncRNA from 1 species
CUCUGCCGCUGCUGCUGCCGCCGCCUUUGCCUUACGGCCUGGAGCACCAGGCCGAAGCCGAAGGGAGCGUCCGGAUCCCGGAUAGCAGCCAGGACCCGGGCCUUCACGUUCCGGCGCCAGGGACUGGACAGAAUGUGCGGCUAUUAGGUGCCCAGUAGAUCGACAGCCCCUCCGUGCCGGCCCUUGGCCAAGUAGGGACUCGGAAGCUACCCCUACGGCGUCCGCGCCCGGAGCCCUGGCUCUUCUACCUGCCUGCAGAUACAAACCCCACUCCCUGCGAAGAUGGUGUACACGCAGCCCCGAGCACAGACCCGAAGCUGUCCACCCUUCUUGGGCGCCGUCGCGGUCUGGCCGCUGCCCUUCGAACCCAUGUUCAGACAGGGUUUCACCGUGUUGGCCAGGAUGGUCUCGGUUUCCUGACCUCGUGAUCCACCCUCCUCGGCCUCCCAAAGUGCUGGGAUUACAGUCGUGAGCCACUGUUCCCGGCCAGAAUUCCUUAGAAGAUGAUCGUGGAUCAUUUCCACAUAUACAAAAUAAAAAUAAAAUUCACUAUGCAUUUGGUCUCAGUAUCAUCUGAGGAUACAUUUCCUAAUUCUCCACAUAUCUCCCCGACCCCCCAAAAAAAGAAAUUAGAUCAGAGAUCUUUGAAACGCUACCUUCUUGGAAUCCUUAAUACUCCAGGCAAGUAACAGCAUGAGUAGCAUGCUGGUGGACUCAUUAACAUUCUGAACUACAAAAGCUCAUAUGGCAACCAUUUAGAGUGCUCUUAAAAGACAAAUUUUCUUAUUUAUAAGCAGAAGCUGGGUCACUAGUGACGGUAGUGGACCAUAGAAAACUUGAAAUGCCUGCCUAUCUUUCUGCUUCCUUCCUUUAGGCUUCCACACCUUUCUUCUCUCUGUUCUGCACUUGGAGAAUCUGGGUCAAUUGUAGAAGAAGAGGGAGAGAAAUAGAAAAUAUGAACAGAAAGAAAUUUUUAAGGAGUCUACGCAUUGUACAGACUGCCGAUAAAGCAGCACCUUCCUACUAUUUAUUUCUGAAUACAGCUUGCAGGGACAUUUUGCCAUGUUGGAACUACAUUUGGAAAGGUGGUUGUUAAACAUUUCCCAGCACACACCUGGAUCUGCAUCUGCUGUGUCAAUUGAACCACUCACUGGUUCUGUGACCUCAG